GUGGGGAAUAUUGGACAAUGGGCGGAAGCCUGAUCCAGCAACGCCGCGUGAGGGAUGACGGCCUUCGGGUUGUAAACCUCUUUCACCAUUGACGAAGCUGCAUCUUUUUGGGUGUGGUGACGGUAGGUGGGGAAGAAGCACCGGCCAACUACGUGCCAGCAGCCGCGGUAAUACGUAGGGUGCGAGCGUUGUCCGGAAUUAUUGGGCGUAAAGGGCUCGUAGGCGGUUUGUCGCGUCGGGAGUGAAAACCUUGGGCUUAACUCAGGGCUUGCUUUCGAUACGGGCAGACUAGAGGUAUGCAGGGGAGAACGGAAUUCCUGGUGUAGCGGUGAAAUGCGCAGAUAUCAGGAGGAACACCGGUGGCGAAGGCGGUUCUCUGGGCAUGAUCUGACGCUGAGGAGCGAAAGUGUGGGGAGCGAACAGGAUUAGAUACCCGAGUAGUCC
rnacentral:rRNA from 1 species